GCCAGUUUUGCUCAGUGGUUAGAGGAUUGGCCUGGGGACUCAAGGGUCACAGGUUCAAUUCCUGGUCAAGGGCA
rnacentral:tRNA from 1 species